AACGAACGCUGGCGGCAGGCCUAACACAUGCAAGUCGAGCGAAGCCUUCGGGCUUAGCGGCGGACGGGUGAGUAACGCGUGGGAACGUGCCCCUUGGUACGGAAUAGCCCCGGGAAACUGGGAGUAAUACCGUAUGUGGUCGAGAGACGAAAGAUUUAUCGCCAAAGGAUCGGCCCGCGUUGGAUUAGGUAGUUGGUGGGGUAAUGGCCUACCAAGCCGACGAUCCAUAGCUGGUUUGAGAGGAUGAUCAGCCACACUGGGACUGAGACACGGCCCAGACUCCUACGGGAGGCAGCAGUGGGGAAUCUUAGACAAUGGGGGAAACCCUGAUCUAGCCAUGCCGCGUGAUCGAUGAAGGCCUUAGGGUUGUAAAGAUCUUUCAGUGGGGAAGAUAAUGACUGUACCCACAGAAGAAGCCCCGGCUAACUCCGUGCCAGCAGCAGCCGCCGUAA
rnacentral:rRNA from 1 species